UGGGGAAUUUUGGACAAUGGGCGCAAGCCUGAUCCAGCAAUGCCGCGUGCAGGAAGAAGGCCUUCGGGUUGUAAACUGCUUUUGUACGGAACGAAACGGCUCUUUCAAAUAAAGAGGGCUAAUGACGGUACCGUAAGAAUAAGCACCGGCUAACUACGUGCCAGCAGCCGCGGUAAUACGUAGGGUGCGAGCGUUAAUCGGAAUUACUGGGCGUAAAGCGUGCGCAGGCGGUGAUGCAAGACAGUUGUGAAAUCCCCGGGCUCAACCUGGGAAUUGCAUCUGUGACUGCAUCGCUAGAGUACGGUAGAGGGGGAUGGAAUUCCGCGUGUAGCAGUGAAAUGCGUAGAUAUGCGGAGGAACACCGAUGGCGAAGGCAAUCCCCUGGACCUGUACUGACGCUCAUGCACGAAAGCGUGGGGAGCAAACA
rnacentral:rRNA from 1 species